rnacentral:rRNA from 1 species
UACGUAGGGUGCAAGCGUUGUCCGGAAUUAUUGGGCGUAAAGAGCUCGUAGGCGGUUUGUCGCGUCGGCUGUGAAAACCUGGGGCUCAACCCCAGCCUGCAGUGGGUACGGGCAGACUAGAGUGCGGUAGGGGAGAUUGGAAUUCCGUGGUGUAGCGGUGAAAUGCGUAGAUAUCAAGAGGAACACCUGAGGUGAAGACGGGUUGCUGGGCCGACAC